UACUGGCCUCCAAAUUUUCGCU
rnacentral:miRNA from 1 species